UACAGAGGUCCCAAGCGUUGUUCGGAUUCACUGGGCGUAAAGGGUGCGUAGGUGGCAAGGUAAGUUUGAUGUGAAAUCUCCGGGCUUAACCCGGAAACUGCAUUGAAUACUAUCUCGCUCGAGAGUUGGAGGGGAGACUGGAAUACUUGGUGUAGCAGUGAAAUGCGUAGAUAUCAAGUGGACACCAGUGGCGAAGGCGGCUCUCUAGUACGGUACUGACGCUGAGACGCGAAAGCGUGGGGAGCGAACAGG
rnacentral:rRNA from 1 species